rnacentral:ncRNA from 2 species
AAUAUCUCUAUGGGAAUAGGUGCUUACGCUUAAAAGGGAAGACUGGUUAAAAGCCAGCACGGUCCCGCCACUGUAUUGGGGAAUGCAGCUAAGGAAUACCACUGGGAAAUCCCGGGAAGGUUUAGCUGUAUAAUGAACCAAAGUCAGGAGACCUACCUAUUCUAGCACACCAUU